CCCACCAAAUAAUCCAUACUUCUGUUUAGAAAUAAAAAGGCCCACAGCCCAAAUUUCAUUAAAAGAAGAAUACAAACAAAAGAAAUAUAUAUCUUUAUAUUCAACACGAGUAGAAUGGUUAUGGUUAUAUUUGUAACCAAACAAGCCUUGAGAAAAAAACAAGAUAAUGAUGCAAUUGUAUCCUCUUCUCUCUCUUAUUCAUGCACAUGACUCGUAGGUUCUCCUCAGCCGAGCAUUUCUUCCAUCUCCAUCUCUUAACCUCACUUGAUGUUCAUUCAUGGCGUCGUUUCUCUCUCUCUAUCUCUCUCUUCCAGGGGUUACCCUCUCAUCCCUCCAUUUCUUCGCAAUUCCACAUAUUUAGAUCUGUUAUUUCUUUUUUUUUUUUGAUAAGUAAAAAUAUUUAGAUCUGUUAUUUCACUUUGAAUAAAUGCACACGCGCGCAUAUUAAAAAAACUGAACAGCGUGUCCUCCGGUGUGUCAUGCCCCGAUCCGUCGGCGUGUCCAUCCUAAAAAUUAAAAUAAAAUAAUCAGACACUGCUAUAGCGUAUUGGACACGUGUCCGAUGCGGGUACGGCACACCUGUGAGACGUGUCGGUGCUUCACAUGUUUAAGGUUUUAACUGACUUGACUGUAUAUCUUAAUAUUUUUGUUUCUUUUGGGGCUUGAUAGGUGACUUGCAGUUUGUACCCAUGUCACAAUAUAUAAUGCUGAACAAAAUUUCUAGAGCACUCGGUGCACCUUAUAUGAACUGUAUAUUCUAUUUUUUAGUACUGCCUUAUGGCAAAGACCCUUUAAAGUGUUCUUUUUUGUGGGUGGGAUUUGAUUAUCUGUUUUUUGUUAUUUUAUGUUUGUCGUAUUUUACUUUUUUGUCUAUAUAGACUUUGGGCAGCACAGAGGAUAACAUUCUAUCUUGUUUCUGCCUUCUUUUCAUGAGGCUGCUGCUUGUGUUUGCCUUUUGCAGUGCUUGUUCGCAUUUAAUCUCUUCAUAGUAGAGUUGAUUUUGAUUCUAUUUUUUGGCAAUUGGUUUAUUACAAGAAAAUGGACAUAUUGAAGGGGCACAGGUUGAGUUCGUUGGAUUGCAUUUUUUCUUUUGCUUGCCAACAUAAUUGCUGAAAUUGGGUUGGCUUAAAAUGUGACACUACUCUAAUCAAGAUCCCAUUGUCUCAUCAUAGGAAUGCUCUAGGAUCUUCACUUAGCAUGCUUGAGGUCCCUAUAACUUAAGGACAAAUAUGGCAAACGUGGAGCACAUGUUUGUCAGCCGUCUGUGCAGAGAGUUCUGGCAAACGCGGAGCACAGUGUGUCCAUACGGAGUUGACUGUAGUUAUUCAUUCAGUUAUGUUAAAUGUCGUUUCUGUAUCUUGAUGUCUGCAUGGCUUCUAUUUUUGCAGGGGCCUCAUUGCUAUUGUAGGGUUUGAUGGAAUAGGUCUUCUUGUCAACCUUCAUGUUAGAUCAUUGUAUUUCUGCAAUUAGUGAUUUUAAUUUGUGGUAUUUAUCUUUUAAAAUAUUGAAGGUUCGGUAGUAUUUCGGAAUUUACUUUGAUUUGGGGCUUGGUUGCUUAUUUCUUGUAUUUUUCACCUUUCUUGUAUGUCAUUCUGUGUUGCAGAUAGCCUGUCCCACUGGCUUUCAUGGUACUACGUCAGUCCUUUUCCUUGAGAGGCACUAAAAUAUAUCUUUUAUCUACGAGUGUUAAUGUUGGUGUUUUGUGAUUUGGGUUUGAUAAGAAAUUUUUUGACGAUUAGGCUACUAAUUAUACUGUAUAUAUUAUCUUAUAUCUUAUCUGUUAGUGUUGGUGUUGGUACCCUUACUUGAGGAUUUUGGUAUAUCUAGUUGUCGGAUCUCAUUUAGUUCUCAGUUCCUCUCUUCAGUGCGGGAUAGAGCAGUUUGGGAGUUUGCAAGGUCGUCAACUUGAGAUCACGGGUUCAAAUCCCGUUUCCGUUACAUUUUUUUUAAAAAUUUUUGAUUUUGUUUUUCUGCAAUUACGGAGGAAUUUUUUUUAUUUUUUUUGUAUUCACCCUAUGUAGUUGUUGGUUGCUCUUUACUUUUUUCCAUGUUUGUGUUACUUUAAGAUCGACUUGCUGAAAGUUAGAGAGCCUUUUGUGCGGUUGGACUUCAUACUGUUAUUGGACUGUAACCUGUGAUUAUUUGAAAACGGAAGAGAGAAUCUAAUUAUCUGUUUUUGUUGUUUGUUCUAUCCUCUUGUGAAUCUUUUGCUUGAACUCUCUUUUUGGUCUUUACAGGCACUUAGUUAUUUUGCUUGUUUGUAGUGGAUUUCAAGCAGACGGGCUUUUGGAAGUGCUACAGGACCUCUAAUUGAUUACGUAGCAGGCAAUUAUCAAUCUUUGGCUUUUUUCAUGUUGCGAAGGAUAUAUAGCUAAUGCUGUUAGAGCGCCUUUUUCUUAUAAGCUUAUCUUGUAAGGGUUCCAAGACAACUUUGGAUGGCUGCUUGAUGUGUUGAGAAUUCAUCUCUACGUGCCUGCUUAAAAGUCUCAUUUGGUUUAUCUAUAUUUGGCUAGAAGCAAAGGGGGUCCUUGGAUCUGCUGUUUUUAAUACACAAAUAUAUGUUUUCCCCACCCCCUGGUUUCUGCAUACUAUAUCUAUCUUAGAUUUGCUGAAAAAAAUUAAGAUAUAUUUUACUGAAUUUUUUGAAAAAUAUAAUAUUAGAAUCUAGAAAGCAAUCAUUGUUAAUUCAUAAACUAAUAUUUGGAAUUUUAAAAUCCUUGGUCUGUUCAAAAUAAUCUGUUACUGAUUUUUUUGGAAAAUAUAAUCUUAGAAAUUUGAAAGUGACCAUUGCUAAUUUAUCAACUAAUUUUGGGAAUUUUAAUCUCCUUGCUUUUUUCAUAAUAACCUGUUUGUUAUAGCAGCAUUUUGUCCUCUUUCUCAUUUCGUAUUAAAAGAUUGCUUAUUCAUUUCUCUUCUAAUCUGAAAUCUAUAUUGUUAUGGUAAUCUGUGAUUUAAAUAUUGAUCGUUGUAGUCUUUUGCAUAAUGAACAUAGUACUAUCUUAGAGUUAAAAGCUUGAUUAACUGUUUGAAACUUUGAUGAAGUUAUGUACACAUUGCGUAUGGCAUCUAUGGGUGGUUCCUAAGGCUUUUUAGGUUGUUGCUGAUUAAAUUAAUCAAAAACUUUCAUUGUUUCCUGUAAUACUCCUGAAUGUUAGAGUUGUCAUAUAUCACUGAACUUUUUCUCACACUGAAUUGUUGUCUGCUAAACUAACCUGCCACUUAAAUUAGCCGGACAUGGAUUUUCUCCUAUCAGGAUGACUAAUUCAUUAAAUAUUCUUGCCUUUCAAGUGAAGAAGUGUCUUCUUUUCCUAUUUGCUUGUCAUUACAAUAUUUAUUUAUUUAUGUUGACUGUAAGAAUUUUAUGCAACAAUGUUUGUGUAUCUGGCAGCGAUUCUUAAUUUCUGAUCAACAUUGAUGUGCUUGAGGAUAGAAUUACCGUUUGGUUUUUGAGUAUAGUCAUCGCUGUAUCAUUUUGCCCGCUCUAUUUCUAGGAGUAUUGGCAGUUUUUGAAGUUUUGAUGUUUGUUGUUUUGAUAGCUGGACUCCUAUGUGGAGAAGUUAUUGGCAUUCUAGGUUUUGUUGUUUGCAGUUUUCAUCACUCGUGGAAAAUAUGUACAUAAUCUCUGAUAGCUGGACUGAUAUUUUGGUUGGCUUCUAACAAAUUGGAUGUUUUGCGAUCUCUGCAGCCAUAUCUUGCAAAAUGUUGAAUGGUCCUUGAUAGGUGCGUUUGCAGUCUUGUUUCUUGGUUCCAUGCAAUGGCUUCGCUGUGGUACAGAGCUCAUGAAUGGUUGUGCUUUGAAGGGUUUCGUGCAAAGGUUCUACUCUGCUCGGUGCUUUCUUUCUUUCUUUCUUUCUUUCCUUCCUUUUUGUUUGUUUGUUUGUCAAUUCUUCACUUGCAGUUCUUUCAUGAGAUAAUUCUGUGUAUUUUGUGCUUAGUGCUUUGUACUUUGUACUUGUUCCUUGUGUAAUCAAUAAGAAUUCAUUUAUAAGCAAUCCCAUUUUUAUAUAUAUCAUUAUUAGAUUCCAAUGAUUGAUUUUGAAAAUUUUAAAUUUCCAUGAUUUGUUGUUUCUCUUUGGUUAUUAUCGGAAUAGUCGAGUGAGCAUAUUCAAUCCUUGUUUGUGUAUUAGUUCUCUGUUCUUCCCUUCCGUGCGGAGUAGAGCAGUUUGGUAGCUUGAAAGGUCAUCACCUUGAGAUCACGGUUUCAAAUUCUUUAUCCGCUACAUUUUCUUUUUAUUCUGGGUUUUUAUUUUUCUUCAGAGUAUUUUUUUUCCCCCACAAUUUGAAUAGUUGAUUGCUCUUUACUUUUUCCCUUGUUUUCAGUCCCAUUACCUGAAGAUGAACUUGCUGAGCCUGAAGUUGAAGAGCCUUUUUUGUAUGGCUGGGCUUCAUAAUGUCAGUGGACUACAUCCUGGGAUCAGUUGAAAACAGAAGAGAGAAUCUAAUUAUCUAUUUUUUUUCUUUUGUUCUAUCCUCAUAUGAUUUUUUGGCUCGAACUCUUUUUUUUUUUAACUCUCUUUUUUGUGUUUACAGACACUUUAGUUAUUUUGCUUGUUUGUAUUGGAUUUCAAGCACACGGGCUUUUGGAAGAGCUAAAGAAUUUCUGGCUGAUUAGAUAGCCAGGCAACUA